rnacentral:rRNA from 1 species
UCCAGACUCCUACGGGAGGCAGCAGUGGGGAAUAUUGCACAAUGGGGGAAGCCCUGAUGCAGCGACGCCGCGUGAGCGAUGAAGUAUUUCGGUAUGUAAAGCUCUAUCAGCAGGGAAGAAAAUGACGGUACCUGACUAAGAAGCCCCGGCUAACUACGUGCCAGCAGCCGCGGUAAUACGUAGGGGGCAAGCGUUAUCCGGAUUUACUGGGUGUAAAGGGAGCGUAGACGGCGGCGCAAGCCAGAUGUGAAAGCCCGGGGCCCAACCCCGGGACUGCUCUUGGAACUGCGCGGCUGGAGUGCAGGAGGGGCAGGCGGAAUUCCUGGUGUAGCGGUGAAAUGCGUAGAUAUCAGGAGGAACACCGGUGGCGAAGGCGGCCUGCUGGACUGCGACUGACGUUGAGGCCCGAAAGCGUGGGGAGCAAACAGGAUUAGAUACCCCAGUAAU